rnacentral:rRNA from 1 species
AGUAAUGUCUGGGAAACUGCCUGAUGGAGGGGGAUAACUACUGGAAACGGUAGCUAAUACCGCAUAACGUCUUCGGACCAAAGUGGGGGGACUUCAGGCCUCACGCCAUCGGAUGUGCCCAGAUGGGAUUAGCUAGUAGGUGGGGUAAUGGCUCACCUAGGCGACGAUCCCUAGCUGGUCUGAGAGGAUGACCAGCCACACUGGAACUGAGACACGGUCCAG